rnacentral:snRNA from 1 species
AGCUUAGCGCAGUGGCAGUAUCGUAGCCAAUGAGGUUUAUCGAGGCACGAUUAUUGCUAAUUGAAAGU